rnacentral:tRNA from 1 species
GGUGCUUUGGAUGAGUGGUUUAGUCAACGGUCUGCAAAACCGACCACAGCGGUUCGAUUCCGCUAAGCACCUCA